GAUUUUAAAAGUGCGAUCGGAAUCUUCGGAACAAGAAUCAUUUGAUACGGCAGUUGUUAUAACUUCUAGAAAGGGUAAAGAGAUGCUUCUCUUCCGUAGCUACACGUACCGUAAACAAUAUGAGAAACGAAAGAAAUGCAGAUGGGUUUGUUCAACUUUAAAGAAUUGUCGCGCUUACGUCUUUACAGACUCCAAUAAUGUUAUUACAUCAACUUUUGAAGAACACGAACAUGAUCCCCCGAAAUAUUAUCUCAACCCUAAUCAUUUGCUCGGAGCACUAAGAGAACCACUCGUUUUAGAAUCUGAUUAAGAUCAAAUUUAGUUUUAUUUCAAAGUUAGGUUUUAUGUUUGGUGAAGAUUUUGAUCAAGCGUAUUACUAUGUCUAUUCGUGUUAAGUGAUAUACUCGUAAUGAGUGUUGACCACCAGGCUGUGUUCAAAUUGACCAGUCCUUCCCUUCGAAAGGCGUUCUAAUUUACUACGAUUUAUAUAGAAAUGGGGAAAGAGGCCUAUGCCCAGUAGUGGGAUAUUACAGGCUGAAGCGUAGUAUAUAGACAUGGGGCGUGGCUACACUAAGUGACAGUGGUCAAUAUUUUCUUAAUGGGAAUAGACUAUGUACAAGUUUAUAUACUACGUGUCUAAUGUAUGUGCACGAUUGUCUAAUUUUAUAAUUUAUUGCGACACAUAAGUUUCGCAAUGUUUAGUUUUUAAUAAGUCACAAAUAUUGUCAGAUAGUUGUGUAGCAGUAUCUGUUUUAGUGUCAGUUAAACUUGAUCGUGUCAGAUUUUGGUAAUGAUUUUUUUUUAAGUUUAUGUCAUCAGUUUAUUUGGUAAGAAUUUAACAAAUGAGUUUGUUUAUCUAAGAAACUAUCUAAACCAAUAUUUUUUUUGUGAUUGAAAUUUACUCCUUAGGGGUCGUCCAUAAAGUACGUCACGCAAGAUUUUCACGAUCCCUCGCUCCUUUGUCACGCUAAGUCACACUUUCAUUUACCGCCUAACAAACAUAACGUUACAAAACAUAGGUAACCGUCAAUGACUUCACGAUUAAAAAAGGUAUACAGAUAAAUAUUUUGUUUUUUUUUUCAUCUUUGAAGAUAUGUAAUAAAAUCACCUUGUCAAAUCUCGUCACGCUAAUCAAAGACCCCUCUUCCUCCUAUUUGCGAACGUCUUUUAUGGAUAACAACCUUAAACGAUAUAACGAUGGCGUAGUAUGAAAAAUAUAUUGAAAGUGAAAUUGUGUGAAACAGCAACGCUGAGACCCGAGAGAAAGAGAAAGAGUGGCACCAACAUCUCUUGGAAGAAAGUGAUAAAUGUAUUUUUAAAUAUUUCGGUACUCGUUGUUAAGGAGUAAACUCCAGUCGCGUUCUGGAGCUGACUCACACACUCGUUUUGGAGUUGACUCACACACUCGUUUUGGAGCUGACUCACACACUCGUUUUUUUUACUAUAUGAAUAAAUCACACCCACACUAGCAGUUAUACGUGCAUUUAUUUAGAAUUAGAUAAAUUUUCGCAUGCGUUUCAGGUUAUAAAAUCGUCAACAUCACUAAAAUAUAAUUUCAUAUAAUUAAAUGUUAGUGAUUAAAGUAUUCUACGAUUUGUGAAUACAGUGCUUCGUGUUUAAUAUAGUAAUUGGUUAUUAUUUUUAGUAUUUUGAAUAGAUAUUAUAGUUUAAAUUUGCAUUGUAUGUCUUAUACAGUCUAACAUUGAGUCUGAGAUAUUUUAACUCAAUGAUCUAUCUAGGAUUUUUUUACUUGAAGAGCAUCUCAUUGAUCCAAAAAUUGUUUGAAAAUUCUAUUCUAUUCUAUAGAUAGCUAUAGUAAGCAAAACGUGACUUUUUUUUUUUGUAAUUAAGCUAAUGAUAAGAAAAAAAACAAAAUGUUAUGGCAUGCCCUAUUUUGCACUUUAAAAUAACUUUUAAAUGAUAUUUUAUAUGGCUGUAACAGUCAGCUGUUGUACUGCUGCUGCUGUCUGUGUAUGUUAUAAGAUAUUUAUUUAUAUUUAAUAUGCAACAUUUGCAUUUAAAUCUAUCUGAUGUAUGACGGUGUCAAACGGAUAAAGGCUUUUGAUGUAAUGGUUUUCACCAUCUACUACAAGUUUAUGGGAUCAUGUCUAUCAUGUAUAUGUCAUGUGUGAUCUAUUCGUGACAUGUAAAUUUAAAAAUUUUAGUUUAUUAAUUGAGAUGACCGGGUUCUUAUGACCUUGACUUGACUACCUGCUGUUAAAGUGUAUUCGUAACUUGUAUGCCGGGUAUAAUUUAUUUACAACCCUUAAAACGCUUAAGUAUAAAGGAUUUUUGUCUGCAGUAAUUAUUGGUAACAAAUAAUGAAGUUGCAAAUAUUUCUAUAUUUUAGCUAUAAUAUUAGUAAUAGUAUGUAUUGCUAAUUUGUAUGUUGAAUAUUGUAACAAAUUAUUAACUAAGUUUCUCAAUACGAAUAAAGGGCUUGUACAUA